AUUUUAAGUCGCAGGGCUUCAUCUAUCAGCUGGUAUGGUCGUUCUAAUGAUAUUUAUCUGCUGUUAGGUGCUAUUAAUAAUAAUGCAGAGAAAAAUUUAAUCGUUCGUAUUUUUUUCAUUGCCUGUCAGGGGGGCGGAUAUUCAGCAUCUCUCAGCCUCCGCCCGCCUCUGUGGAUCUGUCCAGAGCGGUGGAGAGACGGGAGGGAACCGCAGAGCGACAGGGGCACAGACAGAGACACAGAGAGAGAGAGGGGCGAUGGCCGCGGAUGGAGUAUGCGGGGAAUCGGCGGAUCAGUACCGGGCCGAGUUGGAGCGGCUCACCCAGGAACUGGCCGAGGCGAACCGGGAGAAGAUCCGGGCUGCGGAAUGCGGUCUUGUUGUCCUGGAGGAGAACCAGGCGCUGAAGCAGAAGUAUGCAGACCUGGAGAUCGAGCAGGAGACUCUCAGGAAGGAGUUGGAGCAAUUGCAGGAGGCAUUCGGCCAGGCUUACACCAACCAGCGUAAGGUGGCAGAGGAUGGGGAGACCAACGAGGAGACGUUGCUGCAGGAGUCAGCCUCUAAGGAGGCCUACUACAUGGGCCGUCUGUUGGUGCUGCAGACGGAGGUGACGUUGAGCCGUUCUGUGGCGUCCAAUGCCCAGGCCGAGAACGAGAGGCUCAACGCAGUCGUGCAGGAGCUACGGGAGAGUAACGAGAUGCUGGAGCUACAGAGGAGCCGGAUGAGGGAAGAGGUCAAGGAGUAUAAGUUCAGGGAGACCAGGCUGCUUCAGGAUUACACAGAGCUGGAGGAGGAGAACAUCACGCUGCAGAAACUGGUGUCUACGCUCAAGCAGAGCCAGGUGGAGUAUGAGGGACUAAAACAUGAAAUCAAAGUACUGGAGGAGGAGACUGUUCUCCUAAACAGUCAGCUGGAAGAUGCCUUACGUCUGAAGGACAUUUCUGAGGGUCAGCUGGAGGAGGCCUUGGAUGCCCUCAAGAGUGAGCGCGAGCAGAAGAACAAUCUGAGAAAGGAACUGGCCCACCACAUCAGCCUGAGUGACAGUGUCUACGGAGCAGGGGCCCAUCUGGCGCUCACCGUCACCGGUGUAGAGGGUCUAAAGUUCUCUGAGGAGACCAACGGAACCAACGGCACCAACGGCAGCUCCAUCCCUGCUGCUAACGGCAACAAUGAGGACAGCAACCGCCGCAACUGCCUCGUUCACACAGGCACCGGAUUGGCUAAGAUGAACGGGGACUACCGGCCAGGCUGGAAAGGAGAAGGCCUCCACCCCGUGCCGGACCUGUUCAGUGAGCUCAACCUGUCUGAGAUGCAGAAGCUCAAACAGCAGCUGUUACAGGUGGAGCGGGAGAAGUCGGCGCUUCUCAUGAACCUGCAGGAGUCACAGACCCAGCUGCAGCACACGCAGGGCGCCCUGACCGAGCAGAAUGAGCGCGUCCAUCGCCUCAUGGAGCGCGUCAGCGGCAUGAAAUGUCUCAAUGGAGACAAAGAGCUUGAUGAACCACAGGAGAGUGAGAAACCUGAUGGGGGCUCCUUAUCACCACCAGCCAAUGGUCACCAUGAUCCCGAUAUCCAUGGGUUCGAGAUCCUGGAGUGUAAGUACAAGGUGGCGGUGACGGAGGUGAUCGACCUGAAAGCAGAACUAAAGGUCCUGAAGGAGAAGUACAACCAGGCUGUGGAGGGGCAGGGGGACAGCCACAGCGACGACAGGGUCCCGGCACUGACUGAACAGCAGGUAACUCAUUUGGAGCGUAGUUAUCGUGAGAGUCGGGAGAGGGUGGUGAGCCUGGAGGCAGAGCUCCGAGCAUCGGCGAGCACAGCCACAGAGAGCCAGGGCAUGCUGAAUGCAGCACAGGAUGAGCUGGUAACCUUCAGUGAAGAACUGGCACAGCUCUACCACCAUGUCUGCCUGUGCAACAACGAGACACCCAACCGCGUCAUGCUGGACUACUACCGCCAGAGCCGCGUCACACGUAGCGGCAGCCUGAAGGGCUCAGACGACCACCGGGCUUUGCUCUCGCCUCGCUUGGCGCGACGCCUCGCUGCAGCGUCUGCAGCCUGCUCCUCCGAGCUCCCGCGCACUCCCAUGGACUCCCCAUCCAAAGACGGCCAUCUCAAUGAGACGACAACCAACACGGUGGACUCCUGUCAUAGCAGCCCUACCCGCAACCCUACAGGGUCCCCAGUCAUCAGCAUCUCUCCUUGCCCGUCUCCAGUGCCCUCCGAGGCAGGUGGGGACCUGCGGAAGGAGCCCAUGAAUAUCUACAACCUGAACGCCAUCAUCAGAGACCAGAUCAAACACCUGCAGAGGGCUGUGGACCGCUCACUGCAGCUGUCCAGGCAGAGGGCUGCAGCCAGGGAGCUGGCGCCGAUGCUUGACAAGGACAAGGAGUUGUGCAUGGAAGAGAUACUCAAACUGAAGUCCCUGCUCAGUACCAAGAGAGAGCAGAUAGCCACACUCAGGCUGGUGCUGAAGGCCAAUAAACAGACAGCAGAGGGGGCACUGGCAAAUUUGAAGAGCAAGUACGAGAAUGAAAAGGCGAUGGUGACAGAGACCAUGAUGAAGCUGAGGAACGAGCUCAAGGCUCUGAAAGAAGAUGCCGCCACCUUCUCGUCUCUCAGGGCCAUGUUUGCCACAAGAUGUGAUGAGUACGUUACCCAGCUGGAUGAGAUGCAGAGGCAGCUGGCAGCAGCAGAGGAUGAGAAAAAGACGUUGAACUCCCUCCUCCGUAUGGCCAUCCAGCAGAAACUGGCCUUGACCCAACGGCUGGAGGAUCUGGAGUUUGACCACGAGCAGACUCACCGUGGCCGCGGCGCUAAAGUGCCCAAGAUAAAAAGCAGCCCGCCCAAAGUAAGUCGCAGAGGUGCCGUCACAGCUCCCUCCAGUCCCACGAGGUUCCACAGCCCCUCCAUUAUCACCACCCACACCCUGAACACCUCCCUUACUAAUCCUCCCUCUGUAGAACUAACCGCCUGUCCGUCCAUGUCUGCGUGGACUUCAGACACACUUUCUGAAACAAUCCAGACCUCAGCUUCAACUCUUCAACCGAACAUCAGUUACCCUCAUUUGUUUCUGGGCACCCAGCCCAUCAUGGUAGACCCUGAGCGGCUAACCUUAGAGUUCAGACGACUCAUUUAUUCAAGACAAGACAUAGGUCGACUGUCCCCUUCUCACAGCACCAGUAGCCCUGCCUCGGUAUCUCCUCGCCUUCGACGAAGGCGAUGAUUCAUCAUCAUCAAUGUACACAGUUCCCAGAAGCCACUGGAUUAGGUGGGAUACAGAGAGGAGGAAAAACUGGUUUCACAUGUCUAUGGUUUGAACAUGCAGCAACACUCAGGAAGAAGGAGCCCCUGACAGCUUGCUCCAUCCUCAAAACAGCACUGAACAGCCUUUUUGGUAUUGAUACGGUUGGACUGCAUAGAAUUUUCUUAUGAACACCGUUACAAAUGUGAUACCAGUCAUCUUUCUUGGCAUAUGAAUAACUGCUACCAUAAAAUGAGACAAUAUUUAUAUCACUCUCUUAGAGUACUAGGAAGUGUGUCAAAGUGAAAACCGAGCAAAACAUGGCUGCAGCCUCUGCUUCAGCAUAUAGUGACUCAUAGCACCUCCGUGUGGCAGACUCUGUGAAUUACAUGUUAGAUUUCUUUUUCUUUUUUGCAUCUUUAUCAAACGGUAUUUUAUCUAAACUAUUCCAUAAAAAUAUGCUAUGUUGUAAAAUUAUAUUUCCUCCAGGCAAUCCUUGACCAGUCAGACCUCCUCUCUGUGCCUCAAUCUCCUAUUUGAUUGUCCCCUCUGUACACUUACCCCUCAUGUAGUAUCCAAAAGAAAAGUAGAGGGAAGUAAACUAAAUCCACUCCUCCCUCUGCUGACGGACAUUGUCUUGACAAACCUCUCUCACAAUAUUCCCAGUUUUCUCCACCAGCGAACAUUUCCAUUUUCUUUACUUUCAAAUGUUGUUUGACCACUCUCUCAAUUCAAUUCAAUUCAAAGAGGCUUUAUUAGCAUGACCAUAUUGGUAGGAUGCAGACAAUAAAGCAUUAGGUUAACAUUUGUGCAAAAGCAACAAUCAUGUCAACAAAAUUUAACAAUAAGAACAAAACUGAUGGAUAUCAACAUAAAAACAAGAAUAUUACAAUUGUGUGUGUGUGUGUGUGUGUGUGUGUGUGUGUGUGUGUGUGUGCACGCGUGCGUGUGUCACUCUCUCUCUCACCCUCUCUCUCUCUUUUAUCCUACCUCAGAUAAUAUAUAGCAUAAGGGAAACAGCUUAAACAAGAUUUUAAGAUAACACAACAUCAUAUGAUAUGAGUGGAACUGACGAGCAUGACUGGUGUGGACUUAAAACGGACUUCAUGAAUAGAAUUGAGCCAUGAGCACCAGGUGUUCGGGAGUUGAGCAGCAUUGGAUUGUUCAGCAUUAGCCCCACUGUGUCUGUCUUCCUCUUUGUGUGCUGUACCAAUCAAUAUAAUAUUGGUUGAUUCAAGUGUGUGUGUGUGUGUGUGUGUGUGUGUGUGUGUGUGUGUGUGUGUGUGUGUGUGUGUGUGUGUGUGUGUGUGUGUGUGUCUUUGUGUUUUCCACCUCCAGUGCUGAUUGUCUAGCUGUGCAGUGACUGGUCCUGUCGGUGUGAUCAGAUGAGACUGGUUUAGUUACAUUUACACUAUGCAAGCAUAUACUGUAAAUGACAGGCAGUGGAAGAAGCCACUUAGGUUAUGCUUAGCCUGGCUUCAAGUAUUUCCUCUGCUCUUUUUCUCAUAGUUCUCCUCAUGCUCUCUUUUUCUCAGACUUUUCACUUACAGAAACACUGAUUUCCACGACCAGAAGAAUCACAGUUGAAUAUCCCCACGGAUGAAUAUCCCCACCAUAUGUAAAUUAUUAAAUAGUGCUAUAGUAAUGUCGUGAGAAAAACUGUAUAUAGAGCAGGAUCAGACUGGUGCUUUAGUAUAAAAACCAGUGCUAUCGUAGCAGCAAACCAGUAGUAGUCUCAUUGUCUCUGACCAGGUCUUCCCCUGUCUUGUGCUGCGUGUUUUCUCUGUCCUAUUGUCUAACCCUGAGUGUCACCACUCUGUAUAUCUGUCUAAUUUAUCAGUUUCUUGUAGAUUGUCAGCAGCCUGCUGCCUCAAUACCGUCACUCUCCCCACAACUAAGGCGCGGGAGAGCCUCCCUAGCCCGCAGUCCUAAAUUUUUGGCAGACCUCCAGAAACACCGUGCAGUCCUGUCCAGCAGCAGUAGCCCUCUCUCCCCCUGCGAUCCUCGUAACUGUCUGGCCCAUCAACCUCUGCUCCCCGGCACCUAACCCCACUGCUCCAGCCCAGGCUCUGGCCUCGGCCUGGUAGGAGUCACGCAGAGACAGAGAGACACUUUGGAUUGGGGUUCCCUCAGUUUUACUACCCCCAACCUAGCAUCCACCUGGUGCGUAUUGGACUCUGUGACCCCGCCCUCCCCUCCCUAAGCGCAAACAUGGUCCGGCCCUCGGCAGGCCUCCUGGUUACCUGGGUCGCAGAAGAAGAGUAAGAUGCUCUCUUCUUCUCUGGAAGUGACAUCCUGUCCUGGAAAAGGACUGAACUAAGACGCAAAAUGAGAAUCACUGGAAUCUUUUCCCUUAAUCGUAUUAGUAUUUAUUUAUAAUUUAUUUACUCUAUUGAUUAUUUAUUUACAUAUUGAUUUGUAACACAUUUCUAAAAUAUUUAUUACUGGAAUGUUUUUUCUGUGUUUGUUGGUCAUUCUUCAGUAUGGAUAUCAAGCCGUGUGUUAUUGCUGUGGUGAAGACUUCAGUGAUCACAGACAAUUUGGCAGAUUCACUACUGUACACGGCUGAACAAAGGAAAACCAAUGCAACCAAAACCAGACCUGCAAAGGUUCUUUCUGGUGUAGUAAACCGAUUUAAAACUUGCCUCAUCAUACUAUACGGCAUUAAAAUGUCAGAUUUUGACAGUAUAAUAAUCAAAACAUAUGUAUGCCACUUUCACAUAGGAGUGUUAGAGUACAUUGGGUUUGACAUUGCAGACAGACUAAUGAAGGUAAACACUUUAUUUUAAGAAAACUGUUUAUUGUGGUGAUGGGUGGAUUUCAGCUACCUUUCUAACAUCACUAGUCUUUCUUGGGAUGCUUGUCAUUUUUUUAAACAAAGAUUUUUUUUUUUUUUGCAAAUCAUGUGCAUAAAAACUAUUUUAUACCUCCUAUUAUUUGUAUUUAUUUUUACAGCAGAUUCUAGUGGCAUGGUUGUGUCUGUUUAUGUAGCUCAGAUCUUCAGAGACUGAGAUAGACGAGAGACUGAGUGUUUGAGAUCAGGACUAGGGCUGUCGGCCUGAAAUUUGCCUUUUGAAUUGCACAGGUUUAAGUGAACAUGGAGUGAACUGACCUCCAUUAUUUUAACAUUAGUUAAGAGCAGAGAGGGUUACCCAAAAGCGUUCCUCUUCUCGAGUAACCGUCAUUGUAUUCUCACCCAGUAUUCUCUGUCUUCCUCUUUCACUGUAUUGGCCACACCCCCAGAAAACUGUUAUUAUGACCCUUUGUUCAUCCAUUUACAUGUCUAGCUGUCUCUACAUGCUUCCUCCAAACAGUAUGCAGUACUGUCUAAGCACAAUUAUGCAUAUGCAUUAAAGCAAUACAGUAGUGCUGGUCGGAGACUGAUCUGAUUAAGAUGAACUCAAUCUUUUCAUUUCUAUCACCACAAACUAACCAGCAGGCUGAUAAGAAAGGCAAGACAGUUGGGGAUACAAUCAAGAUAUUAUUUCUUUUUGAAACAUUGUUUUGAUCACAGAGGGGCAAAGUCUGGCUGAGAUGGAUGUAAUGUGUGACGUUUGUCGCAUAAUUGAAAUCCCAUUCCUCUGUCUUGGUACCCUCAUAAUGUCUAAAGUGUUCCCCUCACUGCACUGAAUACAUAUUUUUGCCAGAUGGAUAUGAAAUGGAUAAACUACAACUACAUAGCCAGUAUAGUGUUGUAAUGACAAAGCAUUUCUGUUACAACAGCGAUGAAUGAGUGGACUCUUUCUGUUCUUUGUGUGUGUGUGUGUGUGUGUGUGUGUGUGUGUGUGUGUGUGUGUGCGUGUGCGUGUAAAUUUGUUGGACUUGUCUUUGUUAACAGUGAAGAUUGUUACUUUUUGCAACUACAGAGUGAUGAAAAUAUGUGUGGUCCAAAGCUUCUGAAGCCACGCAGGCUCAUUGGUGACCUAACUCUCUUGGUUUGUUUGCACAAUAUAGCAGUGGACGGAGAGAGACUAAUCUGAUGAAAGAAAGAAAA